GCUGGGCAUGGUGGCACCUGCCUGUAAUCCCAGGAGCUUGGGAGGCUGAGGCAGGAGGAUCACAAGUUCAAAGCCAGCCUCAGCAACUUAAUAAGACCCUAAGCAACUUAGUGAGAACCUGUCUCAA
rnacentral:sRNA from 1 species